rnacentral:rRNA from 1 species
GAUGAACGCUGGCGGCGUGCUUAACACAUGCAAGUCGAACGGGAUCCCGGGGGUUCGCCUCCGGGUGAGAGUGGCGAACGGGUGAGUAAUGCGUGACCGACCUGCCCCAUACACCGGAAUAGCUCCUGGAAACGGGUGGUAAUGCCGGAUGCUCCGGUUGGAUGCAUGUCCUUCCGGGAAAGGUUCCAUCGGUAUGGGAUGGGGUCGCGUCCUAUCAGCUUGAUGGCGGGGUAACGGCCCACCAUGGCUUCGACGGGUAGCCGGCCUGAGAGGGCGACCGGCCACAUUGGGACUGAGAUACGGCCCAGACUCCUACGGGAGGCAGCAGUGGGGAAUAUUGCACAAUGGGCGCAAGCCUGAUGCAGCGACGCCGCGUGCGGGAUGGAGGCCUUCGGGUUGUAAACCGCUUUGAUCGGGAGCAAG